rnacentral:rRNA from 1 species
CAACCCCUUUCAGCAGGGAAGAAGCGAAAGUGACGAUACCUGCAGAAGAAGCGCCGGCUAACUACGUGCCAGCAGCCGCGGUAAUACGUAGGGCGCAAGCGUUGUCCGGAAUUAUUGGGCGUAAAGAGCUCGUAGGCGGUUUGUCGCGUCUGCUGUGAAAACCCGAGGCUCAACCUCGGGCCUGCAGUGGGUACGGGCAGACUAGAGUGCGGUAGGGGAGACUGGAAUUCCUGGUGUAGCGGUGGAAUGCGCAGAUAUCAGGAGGAACACCGAUGGCGAAGGCAGGUCUCUGGGCCGCAACUGACGCUGAGGAGCGAAAGCAUGGGGAGCGAACAGGAUUAGAUACCCUGGUAGUC